rnacentral:rRNA from 1 species
CACGUAGGGGGCGAGCGUUUGUCCGGAUUUAUUGGGCGUAAAGAGCUCGUAGGCGGUUCGGCAAGUCGGGUGUGAAAUUUCGAGGCUCAACCUCGAAACGCCACUCGAUACUGCUGUGACUGGAGUCCGGUAGAGGAGUGCGGAAUUCCUGGUGUAGCGGUGAAAUGCGCAGAUAUCAGGAGGAACACCAACGGCGAAGGCAGCACUCUGGGCCGGUACUGACGCUGAGGAGCGAAAGCGUGGGGAGCAAACAGG